rnacentral:rRNA from 1 species
GAGUUUGAUCCUGGCUCAGGAUAAACGCUGGCGGCGCACAUAAGACAUGCAAGUCGAACGGAAGUCGUUGUAAUGAUAUAGACAUGGACGGAGAACUUGUUCGAAGAAAGUGAAAGUUGACUUACAACAAUGGCUUUAGUGGCGGACUGGUGAGUAACACGUAAGCAACCUGCCUAUCAGAGGGGAACAACAGUUAGAAAUGACUGCUAAUACCGCAUAUGCCUUAGCAACACAUGUUGCAAAAGGGAAAGGAGCAAUCCACUGAUAGAUGGGCUUGCGUCUGAUUAGAUAGUUGGUGGGGUAACGGCCUACCAAGUCGACGAUCAGUAGCCGGACUGAGAGGUUGAACGGCCACAUUGGGACUGAGAUACGGCCCAGACUCCUACGGGAGGCAGCAGUCGGGAAUAUUGCGCAAUGGAGGAAACUCUGACGCAGUGACGCCGCGUGCAGGAAGAAGGUUUUCGGAUUGUAAACUGCUUUAGACAGGGAAGAACAAAGACAGUACCUGUAGAAUAAGCUCCGGCUAACUACGUGCCAGCCGCCGCGGUAAUUA